UCCUACGGGAGGCAGCAGUAGGGAGUCUUCCGCAAUGGACGAAAGUCUGACGGAGCAACGCCGCGUGAGUGAUGAAGGUUUUCGGAUCGUAAAGCUCUGUUGUUAGGGAAGAACAAGUGCGAGAGUAACUGCUCGCACCUUGACGGUACCUAACCAGAAAGCCACGGCUAACUACGUGCCAGCAGCCGCGGUAAUACGUAGGUGGCAAGCGUUGUCCGGAAUUAUUGGGCGUAAAGCGCGCGCAGGUGGUUUAAUAAGUCUGAUGUAAAAGGCGGUGGCUCAACCAUUGUGUGCAUUGGAAACUGUUAGACUUGAGUGCAGUAGAGGAGAGUGGAAUUCCAUGUGUAGCGGUGAAAUGCGUAGAUAUAUGGAGGAACACCGGUGGCGAAAGCGGCUCUCUGGACUGUAACUGACACUGAGGCUCGAAGGCGUGGGUAGCAAACAGGAUUAGAUACCCUGGUAGUCCACGCCGUAAACGAUGAGUGCUAGUUGUUUGGGGCUAUCCAGCCCUAAGUGACGCAGCAAACGCAUUAAGCACUCCGCCUGGGGAGUACGACCGCAAGGUUGAAACUCAAAGGAA
rnacentral:rRNA from 1 species